GAACUUUUUAAUCAUUGUUUGUUAGCCAAGCAAGCCUGGCGUAUUCUUCAAUGCCCGGAGACUUUAAGUGCUAGAAUCUUGAAGGCGGUAUAUUUUCCAUCAACAUCUAUAUUACAUGCUGAACUUGGUGGCCACCCUUCUCAAAUUUGGAGGGCAGUGCUUAAGGGGAGUGACAUCCUCAAACAAGUCUUGAUACGUCGAAUUGGUAAUGGAAAUACCACAUAUAUUUGGGGUGGUAAUUGGCUUUCGAGAUCAGAGAUGUUGAGACCUUAUGGAUGCAGAACAAUGAACCCACCAAAGUUUGUCUUAGAGUUAAUUGAUGUAACAUUGACAAUAUGGAGGCCAGAUCGUGUUGCGGAGGUAUUUAUAUCCAUUGAUGUACCGGUUAUCUUGGGGAUACCUCUCUGUACAAGGAACUUGGAUGAUUCAUGGGCAUGGCAUUUUGCAAAGAACAGCACGUUUUCAGUAUGGUCAACCUAUAGAAUGUUGAUAGACGCAAGGAGGAGAAGAGAAGCCUGGUUGGAUGGGAAUCCCGGUUCAUCUAGUACUCACUAG
rnacentral:rRNA from 1 species